AGUUCACAUUACUGUGAUUCAGCAGCAAGAAAAGCGCUACUUGCUACUGUUGCUCUCCCUUAUCUUACCUCCAAUCUUUCUGGUCUUUCCCUCCAAACUUUUCCACCUUUCCGUCUUUCUUAUUUAGUCUUUCUAUUUGCUUUUGUUUGUCUUUUAUUGGGCAUAUUGCUCAGAAUUGAUUUACUUGAUCAUCAUUAUCUUUUACCUGGUUAUCAGGGUUGAUCACAUCAAUUAAAUUGCUCUGUCAACCAUUUUUGAUUCGGUUAUGCCUUAACUUUCCUGCCUUGCCUUCCAAAACCAUGCCUGUACUUACCCUUUUACCUGUUCUUACCAUUAUAAAGGAAUCAUCUUUGAAUCAAAUUUUCUUUUCAUUUCAACAAUUGAUUCUUCAUCAUCUCCAACUUCAUCUCCUAUCAAAUCAUCAUCAUGAUAAAGGUAAUAUAAUUUACAUAAUAACUUGGAUUGAAUCAAUUGUCUGUUUGCUUUUUGCUUCUUCACCUUCAUCUUUACUCAUCACAAAAACUCAAGCCUCAACAUGCAUGUGCUCUAAUAAUGAGUUAUCAAAUUCAAAUCAAUCAAAUGACUAAACAACAACUGGCCAACAAUUUGCAAUUACCCAAAGUCAAGCUUUAGGUUUUGGAUAAUUGUGAUUAUUUUGGAUGACAAUCAACUGUAAUCUGAUUUACCAAUGAGCUGAUAAAAUAUGCUGAUUAACUGUUGAUUUAUAAAUCAAGAAAAGACACUGGAGGCAACCAAUGAUCCGUUGAUUUGUACGUACCUUGAGUCAAGGUUGGACUUUAUUUAAAUUGAAUUAUUGGGCAAGGUUGAAAUUAACAAUCGACUAUUAACUAUGUUGACUUAUCAAUUGGAUUUCAAGUUUAGAACAGGUUUAACAAUUGUUUUGUCAAUCAUAACAAUUUGCAUGUAACCACUUACCCUGUUUACCUGUUAAUUAAGACUCUGGUUAAACUAAUUUUCACUGUUGUUCAACUGUCAAUUGUAAUUACACUUUCCGUUUGACAAUUGACAUGUGUUGACUAAUUGUAUUUCAAUGCAUUUUCACUUCAUCACAACCAAAUUAGAUUAACAUUGAAAAAUUAAUAAGUAGACAAUCGAUAAGUAAAAAUGGCAAACAACCUUUUUUCUGGUUCAA